ensembl:lncRNA
CUGCCCAUCUCUGGAAGUAAGCAACAAAAAAUCAAUGUUAUGGAGGAAGAAAGAAGAGGAGAACCAAAUCUCUCUAAAGAUGCCCCUAAUCAUGAAGAGCAUGUGGGGUAAGGAGGUCAUCAAGGGAGAGGACAGCUCCAAAGAAGCUAACUUAUCCAAUGUUAGGAAAUCCUUUAGUGAGAGUCAAGCACUCCAUUGUAUCUGGGUUAGACCAAGCUUUCACCCAAGCCUUCACCCUUGACAGUGUACCUAGCGCAGAUCAACUUAUGCCCAGGACACUGAAACAGUGUAAAGUUCCACAUGCAUGCGGCUUAAGAGGAAGAGAAUGUAACCCUCUCAAAGUUAUCCACUGGUAUUCAAGCCAGUUUUAAUGUUUAAUAUAUGCAGUACCAAUGUUAUCCAGCAGAUGGCACUAUAGUUGUUCUGCAAAGCCUUAUGAGGCAAUAAGAAUAAUUGCAGUGCAAGCAGAUAGACAGCAAGCCAGGAAAAAAAGAACAGAGAGCAUGGAGUACUGGAGUGAAUAGGAACCUUAAAAUAAUAAGUGUUAAGGUUUUUACAGAUAAAGACUUAUGGCGAUUUGCUCACCAUACAUCCCAUUUUCCAGUUGUUUUUUUACUAUGUUGUGACAUAAUGCGAGAGACUGAAUGUGAAUCCACUGAAGUUCUUCUCCAGAGACAUAUCCCUCCACCCAGGAGGAUGGCGAACAAAGAUUCUACUAAACUUUACAGAUAAGCACUGGGCUUAUCCACACACAUACACACACUACCCGGAUAGAUUGACAACAGUUUUUUUCUCAGAGCUCUUAAUUUUUUUAUUUUUUUUUUCCCCUCUUUGCUGAUUUUUUUUCUUUCCUCACCAAACCAGAGUGGUUAGUGGAGGCUUUUAUUCAACAGUUAUUCAACAGUAAUGCACUAAUACAAAAAUUAUUAAGCAAUAAAUUUGUUCUUAUUCUGCUCACAACCCCAUAGGAGCCCCCAAAAGCUCAAAAAUAGUUUUAAUUUCACAGCUGAUCUUAGAGACUUGCUGGUGUCCAAGAGGAGGUCAGCUUCCCAGUCAAUCUCAGAAGCCUCCUGGCUCCCAAGCUGUUGAUAACUGGAUUCGUAGGAUGCAGAAGCCAUUUUAAAGCUAAGCUGCCCUUAUUGGCUGUUUUUCCUGGCCAGCAGACUUUGAGCACUCUACUGUAUAACCACACCAUCUUUUUACACUGAAACUGAUAUCCCUUGUCAGUAUAUAAGUACCUCUCAAAUAAUGGAAUUUGAAUGUAAAAUUAUGACACUCAGGAGCAAGUUGAGAAACUACUAAUUACUCUCAAACACAAUAAAAGUUGCCAUAAAGGCAGUAAAUUAAAAAACAGUUCAAGAACUUCAGUUGACUAAUAUGCAAGUGUUGCAUGUCUUUAAACUUUAAUAUGUUUUACUGAUUACUCUUGUAACCAAUGGAGUUUUCUGUUACUUCAGGUUACUACACUGUGGCAGACGUGUAGAUAAAAGCUGUAAUCUUAAUUCAUUAAGUCUAACACAAACCCAGUCAAAGAAACUAAGACAGUGAUAGGCUACCAAUUUAUGAUUAGAAGAUUUUCAAAACAUUUUGUCAUUAAAAACGCUUCCAAACAGAAAAAUUACCCAAAAACUAAGUAUUAACUUAAACCUGCCAAAAACCAAACCAUGUUGGUUGACUAUAAGUCAGAAUGAAACUUCAGAUGAUCCUGUUGUGUUGAGGUGUAUUUAAGGGUGAUGACUUCAUUUGCUGUUGGAAUGUAACAUCCCAUACCUGUUAAAAAAAAAAAAAGUUCAGAGAAUAUUAUAAUGGGACAAGCCGGACUGCGUGCAUCAAAUGUCUGACCUCAGCUUAUCUAACACAUCGCGAGUUUGGUUCACUCACCAACAUCAAGUGGGGUUGUACCACUCAGCAGUUGCCAGUAGUGUGAUGAAUUUCCUGCCAAGCCAUUCACACUGAUGAGGAAUGGUCCAUAGUCAUCAUUUACUUUGUAUUCAAAGCUGUAAACACAGGGUAUGACAUUUUCAUGGACAAAAUUAUGCACAGUUUUUGAAAUAACUGUGAAGCUCAAAAGAAGGUUAUUGUAAUUGCAAAAGUACAAGAGCACCGACACUCUUGAGAACUCAUAAGGACUUAUGAAACAUCAAUGAAAGGAAGGCAUUUUGUUGAAGCUAAAGAUGUGAUGUGGUUUUUGACUGUCCUCUAAAUACAUGCAGGUUUCUGUAGUUUAUGAUGAUCAGAUGAAAGUGUGAAGAAUUGUUUGUAAAGGUCAGCAAAGCUGUUUCAUCUUGACUAAAUGUCAACAAAUAGGAGAAAACAAUUGGUCAUCUGACAAUCGAAAAUUCACACCCAGAAACACAGGGUCUCAAUUAGAGUUACACAUUUAGGGAACAAGAGAGACUGUAUAGCUUCCUCUAGAAAAGAAAUAGCUGAUUUGAUGGUCUUACUCAAAGCCUUGGUCUGACAUUUUCAGUCUUAUCAGUCCACCGAAGAGGCUUCCAUUAGGAGCGGUAAAAGUGUUGUAGUUCUUAAUGCUAUAGGGUGGCGUAUUAACCACCACUUUGAAGUAAGUGUUAUCGUUACCUGUAUGCAAAGAUGAAGAGCAGAAAAACAAUAAAGGCAACCGGUCAGGCCUACGUGACUAUUUAAGGACAUUUUUACAUUUCUUUUUUUCAUUUAGCUACACUGAAGCUUACUUUGAGCUGACUGCCAAACAAAAACCAGCAGCAGCACGGCUGCAGAGAGGAGAACAGGCUUCUUCAUUCUGACUGAGCUGGCAAAAGCUGACGACUGUCCUUAAGCCAUUCAGGUUUGUGACUGAGCUUUUUGGAGGUGAGACAUGUGUCUCAUGUUCAGUGGUUUUACCUGCUUACUGCCACCUGCAUCACACCAUGGAGGUCUCCAAUGAUGACUCAGACUACAUGGUGAAAUUUAAGACUGCCUUUACAAAGAACCUAUCCCAACAUGUAGCUACACUCAACCAUCAGUGGCUCAAGAUAGCUACUGUGCUUGACCCACACUUUAAGAAUUUAAAGUGUCUUGCAAGGGGAGAGUGAGAAGAGGUUUGGACCAGCCUUGAGGUUGCUGCAGGAACAGUGUAAAGAUGCCACCACAAAGGAGCCAGCAAAGACAAAGAGCCUCCUCCUCUCUUCAUUGUCUUCAGACUCUGAUUCAGAUGAGGAAGCCCUGUGUAACAGGGCCCUGAGCAGAAUCCACCAUCAGCGAUAAAGACUGCCCACUGCAGUCUAAUACAAUUAUCAUUGUUGUUUGUCGAAUCCUAAUGGCAACUGUAGUGUGUAAUCAGGUAUAAACACUUUAUUUACAAGACAAAACAUCUGUUACAGGUCAUAACAGAGUUUAAAUGUGAAGCUGGUCAAAUAAGCUGGUCAAAUAACCUUUUAUGUUUCUGCCUUAGUUUUUUAAGAAGAAAACCUGCAAUUUAUGUUGAAAAUGUUAUUAUUAUUAUUAUUAUUAUUAUUAGAGACACUAACAUUUUGAAAAUGUACUUAAAGUGCUUAAAAUAGCAUUUUAUUUUUAAGUCUGCACAACUUAUUUUUUUGAAGUCCCACCUCUACUAAUUAAUUAAUGAAAAGUGUUAUUAAUUAAAUAAAAAUUUAAAAUAAACACAUUAUUAAAUGAUUUAAAUGAAACAAAUGGGCAUCUAAUUAAUUAUUGAAAUAUUUAUUUAAUUAAUUAAUUAAUUUAAUGACAUAUAUAAUUAAUUAAUCUUCCAUAAAAGACAAGCCCCAGCUAGACUAAUUUAAAAUAACAAAGAACAAAAUGUUUCUCACCUCCUUCAGCUAUGGCUUCAAGUACAUUGUGUGAGGUUACUUGUUUUUCUAGUUUGGUCCUGAAGCUUCCUAGAAGAAUCUUUCUAAUGCAGUCCUCUGUCCUUUUUCUGCCCCAACCAG